rnacentral:rRNA from 1 species
AACGAACGCUGGCGGCAGGCUUAACACAUGCAAGUCGAACGCAUCGCAAGAUGAGUGGCAGACGGGUGAGGAACACGUGGGAACAUCCCUUUCAGUUCGGAAUAACUCAGGGAAACUUGAGCUAAUACCGGAUACGUCCGUGAGGAGAAAGAUUUAUCGCUGAAAGAUUGGCCCGCGUCUGAUUAGCUAGUUGGUGAGGUAAUGGCUCACCAAGGCUACGAUCAGUAGCUGAUCUGAGAGGAUGAUCAGCCACAUUGGGACUGAGACACGGCCCAAACUCCUACGGGAGGCAGCAGUGGGGAAUAUUGGACAAUGGGCGCAAGCCUGAUCCAGCCAUGCCGCGUGAGUGAUGAAGGCCUUCGGGUUGUAAAGCUCUUUUGUCCGGGAAGAUAAUGACUGUACCGGAAGAAUAAGCCCCGGCAAACUUCGUGCCAGCAGCCGCCGUAA